rnacentral:rRNA from 3 species
UCAACAACGGAUCUCUUGGUUCUGGCAUCGAUGAAGAACGCAGCGAAAUGCGAUAAGUAGUGUGAAUUGCAGAAUUCAGUGAAUCAUCGAAUCUUUGAACGCACAUUGCGCCCCUUGGUAUUCCAUGGGGCAUGCCUGUUCGAGCGUCAUUUGUAC